rnacentral:rRNA from 1 species
UACGGAGGGGGCUAGCGUUGUUCGGAAUUACUGGGCGUAAAGCGCACGUAGGCGGCUUUGCAAGUUAGAGGUGAAAGCCCGGGGCUCAACUCCGGAAUUGCCUUUAAAACUGCAUCGCUAGAAUUGUGGAGAGGUAAGUGGAAUUCCGAGUGUAGAGGUGAAAUUCGUAGAUAUUCGGAAGAACACCAGUGGCGAAGGCGCCUUGCUGGCCGAUUUCUGACGCUGAGGCGCGAAAGCGUGGGGAGCAAACAGG